rnacentral:rRNA from 1 species
AGAGUUUGAUCAUGGCUCAGGAUGAACGCUAGCGACAGGCUUAACACAUGCAAGUCGAGGGGUAACAGGGUAGCAAUACCGCUGACGACCGGCGCACGGGUGAGUAACGCGUAUGCAACCUGCCUAUAACUGGGGAAUAGCUCCCUGAAAGGGGAAUUAACACCGCAUAACACUAUUGAUUCGCAUGGAUUAGUAGUUAAAUGUAGCGAUACAGGUUAUAGAUGGGCAUGCGUGACAUUAGCUAGUUGGUGAGGUAACGGCUCACCAAGGCUACGAUGUCUAGGGGUUCUGAGAGGAAGGUCCCCCACACUGGUACUGAGACACGGACCAGACUCCUACGGGAGGCAGCAGUGAGGAAUAUUGGUCAAUGGGCGCAAGCCUGAACCAGCCAUGUCGCGUGCAGGAAGACUGCCCUAUAGGUUGUAAACUGCUUUUAUAGUAGAAGAAACACAUCUACGUGUAGAUGUCUGCCAGUAUACUAUGAAUAAGCAUCGGCUAACUCCGUGCCAGCAGCCGCAGUAAUACGGAGGAUGCAAGCGUUAUCCGGAUUUAUUGGGUUUAAAGGGUGCGUAGGCGGGACUGUAAGUCAGGGGUGAAAUACUGCAGCUUAACUGUAGCAUUGCCUUUGAAACUGUGGUUCUUGAGUACAGUUGAGGUAGGCGGAAUGUGGUGUGUAGCGGUGAAAUGCAUAGAUAUACCACAGAACGCCGAUUGCGAAGGCAGCUUACUAAGCUGUUACUGACGCUGAGGCACGAAAGCGUGGGGAUCAAACAGGAUUAGAUACCCUGGUAGUCCACGCUGUAAACGAUGAUUACUGGUUUGUUAGCGAUAUAUAGCUAGUGACUGAGCGAAAGCAUUAAGUAAUCCACCUGGGGAGUACGUCGGCAACGAUGAAACUCAAAUGAAUUGACGG